rnacentral:rRNA from 1 species
UACGGAGGAUCCAAGCGUUAUCCGGAAUCAUUGGGUUUAAAGGGUCCGUAGGCGGUUUGGUAAGUCAGUGGUGAAAGCCCAUCGCUCAACGGUGGAACGGCCAUUGAUACUGCCAGACUUGAAUUACUAGGAAGUAACUAGAAUAUGUAGUGUAGCGGUGAAAUGCUUAGAUAUUACAUGGAAUACCAACUGCGAAGGCAGGUUACUACUAGUGGAUUGACGCUGAUGGACGAAAGCGUGGGUAGCGAACAGG